GGGACAUUUAUUCGAUAGACUAGUCUCCUCAAUAGCCGGUAUUUUACCCGUAAAAUACGAUAAAGAUAUUUUUCUUAAGUCAUUUUAAAUAUUUUUCUUUUAAAUCUUUUUUAUUUCCCGCCUAAAAGAAAAAAAGGUUUACUGGCUUAAUUUGUAUAUUAAUUUGUUCAAUGGAGAUUAUCAUAGGCAGUUUAUAUCACAGUGUAAGUUGUAGAUUGCAGCUAAGUAAAAGUGAUGGAAAAGCGUGAGAUUAUUCAUGAUUUUAAUUGUGCCUGUUAUGUUGGCUGAGCCAUUAUUAAAUUCAUAAAUCCAGUGAGCACACGCAUAUAUACCUCUCUUUAUAUAAUGCUGUUUUAUAUAUGCAGAUGUAGAGGUUACAUUGUGACUGUACACAAACUUUUGCCUGGUAUUCAAAACUAAUGUGACUCAGUACAACGUUUCAUUAGAAUUUUACAUUACAACUCUGGGAAUAUUCCUAAUAAUAUAUACAGUUUUGUCAGUAUUCCAGUUACCGUUAAUGUUGAUAUUAUAACUAUCCUAUCAAUUUAUCAUUCGUCAAAAGUUGCUUUCACUAAACAACAAACUUUGAGUUAUUAAUAAUUGGAUACGGUUACAUUUAAUUUAACCACCGCAAAAGUUAUAAUUAUUUUACAAUUUUCAAUUUUAAAUUUUAAAUUAUUACGGUGUCGGGUCAGUAUCGAGUGCCCAUGGAGUACUGAUACGACAGGCUCAAAGUUUGAUGAUAAUUAAAGAAUGCAAUCAAGUGGUACAAUAAAUUGAGAAUUUGAAAUAAAAAUAAAUAGCAAUAGCCUGGAGUUUUUCGUGCAAAAGGUCAAAAUAUUGAGGUCUGUCAAUAAUAAAUGCCGGCGCUUAGAUACAAGCCGGUGAAUCCCAGGUGGGUUUUACCGAAAAAUCUACUCAGUUUAGCAUCAAGAUAUUAAAGCCAGCUAUCCUGUGGCUUUCACGUGGAAAUGAACCCGUGACGUAAAUAAAUUAUAAAAUGGCUACUCUGGCACUAAGAGAGAAGAAGGCAAUAGUGCAAACGACAGCUAAUAAGUGAAACGUUUUAAGUUGAAGCUUCAAAUAACUCGAGUUACAGAGCUUUUGUUAAAAUUGGAUAGUUUAACUGACAUUUAACUUAUUACUUCUUUUUAAAAGCUUUGAUUCAAAUAAUUUCAAUGGAUUUUAUACUCGUAUAUACUUUUACUUUUGCUAUCACCACUACCAUCACUCUUUUUUUUACAAUUGUAAAGGAUUUCAAAUUUAAAUUUAAACAUGCUCAACAUUCAGCUUUUUUUUCCUUCACAAAAGUGCCCCGAGCACUUGCAGAAAUAUGAUUAAAUAACGAUUGAAAAUACACUCAACGUUUAAUUGUAU